GAUUCGUUCUGCCACUUUGCCUAUACUCCGCCUGAUCACCGUUCAUCCAGAGAAAAGGAGACGAAGGGGAUGGAUGAGCAAGGACCAGAAGGACCAGAAGAAGAAGGGCAAGGGAGAUGGGGCGAUGUGCAUGUCCAUGGAGGGGAAAAUUCUAAUUUCUUUACAGCGGUGUUUGAA